rnacentral:rRNA from 1 species
AUUGAACGCUGGCGGCAUACCUUACACAUGCAAGUCGAACGGCAGCACGGGCGCUUGCACCUGGUGGCGAGUGGCGAACAGGUGAGUAAUAUAUCGGAACGUACCUUAUUGUGGGGGAUAACGCAGCGAAAGCUGUGCUAAUACCGCAUAAUCCCUAAGGGGGAAAGCGGGGGACCGUAAGGCCUCGCGCAAUUAGAGCGGCCGAUACCUGAUUAGCUAGUUGGUGAGGUAAAGGCUCACCAAGGCAACGAUCAGUAGCUGGUCUGAGAGGACGAUCAGCCACACUGGGACUGAGACACGGCCCAGACUCCUACGGGAGGCAGCAGUGGGGAAUUUUGGACAAUGGGGGCAACCCUGAUCCAGCAAUGCCGCGUGAGUGAAGAAGGCCUUCGGGUUGUAAAGCUCUUUUGUCAGGGAAGAAACAGCAGCUCUAACACAGUUUGCGAAUGACGGUACCUGAAGAAUAAGCACCGGCUAACUACGUGCCAGCAGCCGCCGUAA